AUCGAACGCUGGCGGCAGGCCUAACACAUGCAAGUCGAACGAGUGGCGGACGGGUGAGUAACGUCUGGGAAACUGCCUGAUGGAGGGGGAUAACCACUGGAAACGGUAGCCAAUACCGCCUACCAUCGGUUUUGCCUAGAUGGGAUUAGCUAGUAGGUGGGGUAAAGGCUCACCUUGGCGACGACCCCUAGCUGGUCUGAGAGGAUGACCAGCAAAGCUGGACCUGAAACACGGUCCAGACUCCUACGGGAGGACGCAGUGGGGAAUAUUGGCAAAUGGGGGCAGUCCUGAUGCAGACAUGUCGCGUGUAUGAGAAAGGCCUUCGGGUUGUAAAGUACUUUCAGCGGGAAGGCGUUACCCGCAGAAGAAGCACCGGCUAACUACGUGCCAGCAGCCGCGGUAAUUC
rnacentral:rRNA from 1 species